AACUCAAAUGAAUUGACGGGGGCCCGCACAAGCGGUGGAGCAUGUGGUUUAAUUCGAUGCAACGCGAAGAACCUUACCUGGUCUUGACAUCCACGGAAGUUUUCAGAGAUGAGAAUGUGCCUUCGGGAACCGUGAGACAGGUGCUGCAUGGCUGUCGUCAGCUCGUGUUGUGAAAUGUUGGGUUAAGUCCCGCAACGAGCGCAACCCUUAUCCUUUGUUGCCAGCGGUCCGGCCGGGAACUCAAAGGAGACUGCCAGUGAUAAACUGGAGGAAGGUGGGGAUGACGUCAAGUCAUCAUGGCCCUUACGACCAGGGCUACACACGUGCUACAAUGGCGCAUACAAAGAGAAGCGACCUCGCGAGAGCAAGCGGACCUCAUAAAGUGCGUCGUAGUCCGGAUUGGAGUCUGCAACUCGACUCCAUGAAGUCGGAAUCGCUAAUAAUCGUGGAUCAGAAUGCCACGGUGAAUACGUUCCCGGGCCUUGUACACACCGCCCGUCACACCAUGGGAGUGGGUUGCAAAAGAAGUAGGUAGCUUAACCUUCGGGAGGGCGCUUACCACUUUGUGAUUCAUGACUGGGGUGAAGUCGUAACAAGGUAGCC
rnacentral:rRNA from 1 species